UACGAAGGGUGCAAGCGUUACUCGGAAUUACUGGGCGUAAAGCGUGCGUAGGUGGUUUGUUAAGUCUGAUGUGAAAGCCCUGGGCUCAACCUGGGAAUUGCAUUGGAUACUGGCAGGCUAGAGUGCGGUAGAGGAUGGCGGAAUUCCCGGUGUAGCAGUGAAAUGCGUAGAGAUCGGGAGGAACAUCUGUGGCGAAGGCGGCCAUCUGGACGGUAACUGACGCUGAGACGCGAAAGCGUGGGUAGCAAACGAGGGA
rnacentral:rRNA from 1 species